AUCAUCUCCGCUGGGGAAAAAGAGGGUGGCAGAACUAGAUUUCGCUCUCUAAUCUUAAACUUUCUGCAUACUUUGAGGAUUAGUUUAUGUAAUACGGUUUAUAAGCUUGCUGCGAAAGUGUUGGCUAAUAGGCUCAAAGAUGUCUUCCAAAAUAGAUUAGGGAGAAGGAAAAUGUGCUGAAUUUGUUACAGAACAAGGAGCGACUAGGACAAGCUUUUGCUAAGGAGAUGAAUCUCAGAGCAGAUAUUCAAAAAUUGAAGCAUGACGAGGAGUUGUUUUGGGCCCAACGAACGAGAGUUUCUUGGCUUCAAGCAUGGGAUAUGAAUUCGAAGUUCUUUUACCCAUAUGCUUCUCAACGCAGGCGAAAUAACUUCAUACGCGGGCUGUUUGAUGAC
rnacentral:lncRNA from 1 species